rnacentral:rRNA from 1 species
CCUACGGGGGGCAGCAGUGGGGAAUAUUGCACAAUGGGGGAAACCCUGAUGCAGCGACGCCGCGUGAGCGAAGAAGUAUUUCGGUAUGUAAAGCUCUAUCAGCAGGGAAGAAAAUGACGGUACCUGAGUAAGAAGCUCCGGCUAAAUACGUUCCAGCAGCCGCGGUAAUACGUAUGGAGCAAGCGUUAUCCGGAUUUACUGGGCGUAAGGGGAGUGUAGGCGGCGUGCCAAGUCAGAUGUGAAAUACCGGGGCUCAACCCCGGGGCUGCAUUGGAAACUGGCAGGCGGGAGUGCAGGAGAGGCAGGCGGAAGUCCUAGUGUAGCGGUGAAAUGCGUAGAUAUGAGGCGGAACACCAGUGGCGAAGGCGGCCUGCUGGACGGUGACUGACGCUGAGGCUCGAAAGCGUGGGGAGCAAACAGGAUUAGAGACCCGUGUAGUC